rnacentral:rRNA from 1 species
UAACGCGUGGGUAACCUGCCUUGCACUGGGGGAUAACACUUAGAAAUAGGUGCUAAUACCGCAUAACAGUAGGAGACGCAUGUCUUUUACUUGAAAACUCCGGUGGUGUAAGAUGGACCCGCGUCUGAUUAGCUUGUUGGCGGGGUAACGGCCCACCAAGGCAACGAUCAGUAGCCGGCCUGAGAGGGUGAACGGCCACAUUGGGACUGAGACACGGCCCAAACUCCUACGGGAGGCAGCAGUGGGGAAUAUUGGACAAUGGGGGGAACCCUGAUCCAGCGACGCCGCGUGAGUGAAGAAGUAUUUCGGUAUGUAAAGCUCUNUCAGCAGGGAAGAAAGAAAUGACGGUACCUGACUAAGAAGCCCCGGCUAACUACGUGCCAGCAGCCGCGGUAAUACGUAGGGGGCAAGCGUUAUCCGGAUUUACUGGGUGUAAAGGGAGCGUAGACGGCGAUGCAAGUCUGAAGUGAAAGGCGGGGGCCCAACCCCCGGACUGCUUUGGAAACUGUAUGGCUGGAGUGCAGGAGAGGUAAGUGGAAUUCCUAGUGUAGCGGUGAAAUGCGUAGAUAUUAGGAGGAACACCAGUGGCGAAGGCGGCUUACUGGACUGUAACUGACGUUGAGGCUCGAAAGCGUGGGGAGCAAACAGGAUUAGAUACCCUGGUAGU